rnacentral:rRNA from 1 species
GUGCAGCAGGCGAGAAUCCUCCGUAAUGCUCGAAAGAGCGACGGGGGACUCCAAGUGCCUACGCUCAGCGUAGGCUGUUCCCGAGCCUAAAAGCUCGGGAGUAAGGCUGGGUAAGACGGGUGCCAGCCGCCGCGGUAAUACCGCAGCCCGAGUGGUGGCCGCUAUUAUUGGGCCUAAAGCGUCCGUAGCCGGCUCGGUAAAUGCCUGGGUAAAUCGUCUGGCCCAACCAG